UACGGAGGGUGCAAGCGUUGUCCGGAAUCACUGGGCGUAAAGGGCGCGUAGGCGGCUCAUGAAGGCUGUGGUGAAAGUCCGGGGCUCAACCUCGGAUCGGCCGUGGCGACUCGUGGGCUGGAGCACUGUAGAGGCGGGUGGAAUUCCGGGUGUAGCGGUGGAAUGCGUAGAGAUCCGGAAGAACACCAGUGGCGAAGGCGGCUACCUGGCUGACAACUGACGCUGAGACUCGAAAGCAUGGGGAGCAAACAGG
rnacentral:rRNA from 1 species